ensembl:lncRNA
CUCCUGAGUAGCACGCCGUCACUACUUAGUAGGGUAGUAUACGAGGACGAAGACAACCUUUGACAGCUGUGGAAGGUGCUGUGGAAAAAGUCCCCUCAGGCGAAUAAUUUCCGACAGAAGAGGACGUGUCGCGUGACACCACAAAGAAGGGUUGAAAUACCUUCUUCCUUUUUCUUUUCCUUCCCCCCAAAGGUCAAUUUGAGUCAUUGGGAGCUGGGGUAUUGCUGCUGCUGUUGUUGUGUUUUGAUAAAGCUAUAUUUAUGUUCUAUGUCCUGUCAAGUUGAUAAAGUUGCACUGUAUCAAUAGCUGAAAUGAAAUGAUUGAGAGGACAUUUUUAUUUUCUGUGGCUGGUGUGGUACCCUUAAGGGCAUGUUUUAGACCUUAAAGUGCACCUAUAAUGGUUUUUCAGAUAUGACCUUUCGUGUAGUGUGUUAUAUACGUAGCUGUUUGUGAAUGUAAAAAGUCUGCCAAGUUUCAAAAAUCAAAGCGCAC